rnacentral:lncRNA from 1 species
AUGUAUUAUUUCUGAUUUUAUGGAGGUUAAAAGGUUUGACUUCUCCCUUAUUCUUUCUCAUAUUCUUCAUCUAUUGAAAUGUUCAAGAGAUCCAAAGAAUAUUUUUUAGAUUAACCAUCCGAAGGGAUCUGUAAGAAGCUAGCACUUCGAGCGGAUCUUCAUUCGACGAACCUCUGAUUUUAUUGCAGCCUCAUGUGGAUCACCUA